UCUCCGUAGGUGAACCUGCGGAGGGAUCAUUACUGCGAGAGGGCUCCGGCCCGACCUCCAACCCCAUGUGAACCGAAACCUGUUGCUUCGGGGGCGACCCUGCCGUUCGCGGCGUGGGGCCCCCGGAGCCCAUCAAACCCUGCGUAACUAAGUCGUCGGAGUUUAAACAAAUUAAACAAAACUUUCAACAACGGAUCUCUUGGUUCGGGCAUCGAUGAAGAACGAGC
rnacentral:misc_RNA from 1 species